GUUCAGUACCGUUUCCCACCGAGUACCCGCUUGCUUUCUCGAAGGAGAAUUCGUCGAUCUUCUUCUUUCCUUUUCCUUCCCUCCCGCUCUCUCAACUUCAGUCUGUGAGCGAGCCAAAAGACACAGAUAUGGAAGAGCCCCAAGGCCACCGCCACCACCACCACCAUGGAGACCCUCCAAAAUCACCUACGGCCUCUCCACCAUCAUGCACCACAAGCACUUGCGUCAAAUGCGGCGGCGGCCCAACCUCCUUCCCUUCGCCUCCACUAUCCUCAUGGCCCGAAAUGUCUCCGCCCCCUACGUACCGCCCAAUCCGUUCACCGGCCAUUAAUCUUCCCUCCAAUAACUCCCAAGCAAUAAUCCUCGCUCCCGUCCCUCAAUCCCAAAAGGUUCUUACAAUUUUCCCUCCUUAUAAAUUUCAAUCUCCCUCUAAGAAAAUUCAAUCCCUGGAUGAUAUUCGCCACUUCCACGAAUCCGAUUCCGGAAAGAAUUUCCUCGGCUUCGUUGUUGCUUUAUCCGAAUCCAUUCGCGGCCGCAAAAUCUCCGAUCCGUGCCAUGAAUCACCCACCGUAAAGACGAUACUGUCCAUUCUUCAAACCCUAAUGCAGUGGAUUGAGGAAAUUCCCCCGGUUCAGCAAGCGUCUCGCUACGGAAAUGUCUCUUACAGAACCUGGCAUAGCCGUUUGGAGGAAAAUAGCGAAUCGUUGAUGCUUCAAUUUUUACCUGAUGAUUUUAAAUGUGCAACGAUCGAGGUUGUUCCUUAUUUCACUGAUAGUUUUGGCAAUUCAAGCCGGAUUGAUUAUGGUACUGGCCACGAGACUAAUUUCGCAGCGUGGUUAUACUGCCUGGCAAGGAUGGGAAUUAUCAAGGAAGGGGAUUAUCAAGCUGUGGUAGCUCGGGUUUUCGUAAAUUACCUUGAUCUAAUGAGGAAAUUGCAAUUGGUUUACUGUUUGGAGCCUGCGGGUUCACAUGGUGUUUGGGGGCUCGAUGAUUAUCAUUUCUUGCCUUUCAUAUUUGGAUCAUCGCAAUUGAUUGAUCACAAGUAUAUGAAGCCCAAGUCAAUUCACAAUGAAGAUAUUGUGGAAAAUUUUUCCAAAGAGUACAUGUACCUUUCUUGUAUUGCGUUUAUCAAGAAGGUGAAAAAGGGGUUAUUUGCUGAGCAUUCGCCAUUGUUGGACGAUAUCAGUGGAGUGCCUAAUUGGAACAAGGUGAAUAGUGGGUUGCUUAAGAUGUAUAAGGCGGAAGUGUUGGAGAAAGUUCCAAUCAUGCAGCACUUUCUCUUUGGGUGGCUCAUUAAGUGGGAGUAGAAUGGAUUAUCAACUCUUUAGGAUCAUAUGCGAAGAAAUCAGGAGAAAUCAUUGUCCACCUAGUCUCACCCAGCACUAUUGCCUGUAGAUGGUUACCAGAUUGAAAUUAUAAUACAUUUUGUACCGUGAAUUAAUAUGAUUAUCUCCUCAAAGACUGGAACAUUUUUUUUCUUCUCUUUUCUCUUUAAUUGGCUAUGCAGAUGCAGUGUCAGGUCAGUGCCUGCUUUUUUGUUUAAUAACAUGCAUUUUAUGUUGGUACAAAAAUUAUAUAUUGAAUGGUUAAUGGGAUGAAAUUCUAUGCUUAUGUUUGAUUCUAGAGCAAACGCUAUACAAGUGUGGAUGCUUUUCUUUCCUAGUCAGUAGUCAUUAGACCAGAUUGAUGUGAUAAUUAAAAGUAGAAUGCUGUGCCAAUUGUGAUGAGCAUUGUGUUAGCAACAUCACCUGUAUUUUGAAGAUACACAUUCUUUUUAAGUUAAUAUUGUUAUUUUAUUUAUGAACUGGUACCUUUAUGAGGUGCACAUUCCUUCUAUGGUGAUUUGUUGCAUCAUAUAUUGCUUCCUGUUGUGGGCCUUUCCUGGUUACAAAAGAAUUAUAUACUUUCAUGGUUUACCCAUGGACAUUGCUAUCUUGUAGUUAUUUGCAUGGCCAUUGAGUAGAUGAUGAAAUUGUUUCAUCUAUUUGCUCUUUCUAUGCAAGAAUUAAAACGAUAACUCAAAUCUGUAGGAGAUAAAAGUCCCUAGUAUAUUUUAGGAUCAAUAAACGUGGUCAUUCAAUUGUUUUAUGGGACUUGGCAGCAUAUUGCACAAGGGUAAGGCAACUGGCUUUUAUUUGAGCAAAUAGACUGUAGACUUGGAAGCUGAAAUGCCAGUUGCUGAUUCUGUAUCAUUCGAGAUUCGCUGCUAAGGUUGUUGCGGCGCAUUCGUAUUUACACUUUUAGUAAAUAUAACAGUGAAAGGGAAACAAAGGAUAGCUGAGAUUACUCUUCGGCACUUGAGAUUGGGAUCUGGGGGUAAAGAAACAUGAUCUACUCAAUAAAGGCAAGUCCAUGGUUAGCCCAAGUCAUUAGAAUCGUUUUGAGGUGCAUUAAAAGGCGGGGAAAUGUGAAUUCAGAAUUGCAAGGCUUAAAGUAUGUGUGCACUUUGUUUGAAUCUUGUGAGGAGCUUUUGAAAGAAUUUGAUAUUGGCUUUUUGUUUAAGGCCUAAUAUUUGUUUACCUAAAAUAUGAAUUUGUUGUAAUACUAAAGAAAAGGUUUUUUUUGUAAAACUUCUCAUC
rnacentral:misc_RNA from 1 species